rnacentral:rRNA from 1 species
UACGUAGGGGGCAAGCGUUGUCCGGAUUUAUUGGGCGUAAAGGGCGCGCAGGCGGUUCGCCAAGUCAGGUGUGAAAUCCCCGGGCUUAACCUGGGAAUUGCGCUUGAAACUAGCGGGCUUGAGUGUGGCAGAGGGGGGUGGAAUUCCACGUGUAGCAGUGAAAUGCGUAGAGAUGUGGAGGAACACCGAUGGCGAAGGCAGCCCCCUGGGUCAACACUGACGCUCAUGCACGAAAGCGUGGGGAGCAAACAGG